AACGAACGCUGGCGGCAUGCCUAACACAUGCAAGUCGAACGAGACCUUCGGGUCUAGUGGCGCACGGGUGCGUAACGCGUGGGAACCUGCCCUUAGGUUCGGAAUAACUCCCCGAAAGGGGUGCUAAUACCGGAUAAUGUCUUCGGACCAAAGAUUUAUCGCCUUUGGAUGGGCCCGCGUUGGAUUAGCUAGUUGUUAGGGUAAAAGCCUACCAAGGCGACGAUCCAUAGCUGGUCUGAGAGGAUGAUCAGCCACACUGGGACUGAGACACGGCCCAGACUCCUACGGGAGGCAGCAGUGGGGAAUAUUGGACAAUGGGCGAAAGACUGAGCCAGCAAUGACGCGUGAGUGAUGAAGGCAUUAGGGUUGUAAAGCUCUUUUAACCGGGAUGAUAAUGACAGUACCGGGAGAAUAAGCUCCGGCUAACUCCGUG
rnacentral:rRNA from 1 species